rnacentral:rRNA from 1 species
AGCAGUCGCGCGGUAAUACGAGGGGUGCAAGCGUUAUUCGGAUUGAUUGGGUGUAAAGGGUGUGCAGACGGCUUAUUAAGUCACUUGUUAAAUUCUUCGGCCUAACUGAAGGUCUGCAAGUGAUACUGAUGAGCUAGAGGGUGGAAGAGAGAAGUGGAAUUCUCGGAGUAGCGGUAAAAUGCGUAGAUCUCGAGAGGAACACCAAUGGCGAAGGCAGCUUCUUGGUCCAUUCCUGACGUUCAUACACGAAAGCGUGGGGAGCGAACAGGAUUAGAUACCCCCGUAGUCCCUGUCUCUUAUACC